CACUAAAAGUGUAAUAAUAAUGAGUUGAUUCCUUAUAGUUUUUGUUUGCAAAGCCGUUAAAAAAGGUUGAAAGGCAGUGAGACGGGGAAAGGAAUACAAUCCCCAAGAUGCUAUGCUGUUUUUCGUGAUCUGAUAACGCUUCCGAUAACGUGCGACCGUGAAAAACAGCGCCUCGUUUUUACUUCUGUUGUAUUGAAUGUAGUAGGCUACACAUUUCCCACUAGAAGUGAAAUAAUACUUCAUAAUUUAUGUUGACUGCAAAAAAAGAGAGUUUGGAGCGCGCCUCGUAACCGGAAAUGACGCCUCCCUUCCGAUGUUAAGUCGCUCAGUUUUCCCGCGGUUUGAGGCUGUGGAGAUCAACAGUAGACCGUGCACAGAUUUGUUUUCACUGAACACACUCAAUGUAUUAGCUUUUAAAGGCAUUGAACUUGUCGUUUCCAUUAAAACAAAGCCCAUUUUCUCCAGGGAAAAAAGGAAGGCUGUGAUUUCACAUGGUGUUUCUCAAUUUUGAUACAAAUACGAUUAUUAUUGAUAUUUGUGGCAUGAAAUGGGCUUGAUAAAUAUUGAUUUUCCCCUCACCUCCUCUCCCGUCCUUGAGGUAACGGCCCUGGCUCUGUCUCUCUCCAUAUAUACGCUAUGAGGCGUACAAUCCAUCCUGACGCUGAUUUUGCGGAGGGCAAACGCAUGGCCCUUGAAAUAGACUGUGAGUCUUGGCUGGAAGAUGCCAGGAAGGUGUUUGAAGAGCACAGUCGUACUGCCCCAACAGCAGCACCUAAAAGGGUUCAGCAAGCCAAGGGUGUAGGCAAGCCAAGGGGUAGGCGUGGAGGACGCCCCAAAGGCUCAGCUGCAGUGGUACCUUUAGAGACUGCCAACUGUUUUGCUGAAGAGCCUCAAUCCAGUGAGGACCCUCAAGUGGAAUUUGGUAAGAUGUACAGUAGUUUCUUUUCUGUACACAUACAGUAUACCCUCAGGAUGUCAUAAAAUAUAAGUUUAGACAGUUCCCACUCACCCUCCUAUAGGCAUCCCUAAUACCUUUCUAGGUUC